UACAGAGGUCUCAAGCGUUGUUCGGAUUCAUUGGGCGUAAAGGGUGCGUAGGCGGUCGGGCAAGUCGGAUGUGAAAUCCUGGGGCUCAACCUCAGAACGGCAUUCGAUACUGCCUGGCUAGAGGAUUGGAGAGGAGAGUGGAAUUCACGGUGUAGCAGUGAAAUGCGUAGAGAUCGUGAGGAAGACCAACGGCGAAGGCAGCUCUCUGGACAAUUCCUGACGCUGAGGCACGAAGGCCAGGGGAGCAAACGGG
rnacentral:rRNA from 1 species